rnacentral:rRNA from 2 species
GAUUUCUGGUUUGAUGUACCUGUCCCGCCUCGGUAACGGGGUCGAGUGACGGAGUAUGUCUGCCAUCCUUCUAGAGAAUAUAAACUAUCCUUUACUGGACCGGUUUAUAUCAUCUAGAUCUUUUACUUUGAAAAAAUUAGAGUGUUUCAAGCAGGCGUUUUGCUAUGAAUACAUUAGCAUGGAAUAAUGAGUUAGGACUUCGGUUCUAUUUUGUUGGUUUCUAGGACUGAAGUAAUGAUUGAUAGGGAUAGUUGGGGGUGCUAGUAUUCAGCGGCCAGAGGUGAAAUUCUUGGAUUCGCUGAAGACUAACUUAUGCGAAAGCAUU